ensembl:lncRNA
ACACAUUUCACUUUGACAACAACAGUUUGGAUCACUGUGUCGGAACAUGGGCUCUUUAUCUGUGUUACUUUCACCCUGGAGAGAAACUAGUGAGGGAGACCAUCAGGACCAAGCUGGGUUUCCUGGGUCAAGAGGUUUGGAGAAACUUCUUCCCUUUCUUUCAUCACAGCUGACCUGUGCCAGAAGUUCUGUUAACCCACUGAAAGAGGAAUCAUUUAAGAAACACCAGGAAGACUGAAGCUCAUCGCAUUGAUCAAGCAGGACUCAUGAUCUUCACCAGCAGCUCCCUCACAGGGAAAUCUUCAGCACUCCUCCGUAGGCCCGCUCCAGGAGAUGGAUAAACCCAGCAUUUCAUGAACACUGUGAUGGAGACCUUUGGUUUGUGUAAUGUUAUAAAUACUCGGAUACUCCCCAGAGGCUCCGGGCUUUUACAUAAAGAUAUUAUAUUCAGUCCUGUAGAAAGUUAUAUAUUUAAAAAUAUAUGAUCCUCUCUGGUUACUCUGGUAUGAAUAACUCUGAAUCACUUCAUGGUAAAUAACACACUAUGUGCAAAAAACUGUGAAAGAAUUCCAGAUGACAAGUUUGUAGUUCAACAUACAAGUGACGACCUUUGACCUUCGUCAGGUUUUAUUUAAUUGUGUUAGAGAAAAGCUCAUAUGCUCUUCAUGCAGCUGAGUACAUCAAGUGUUGAAAACGGAAGCUGUGCAGGUCUGAGAUCAGCAGCUUUGUGAAACACCAAACUGAGGUCCUGUUAAUGCUGAUAUAUAGUGACACAGUUACAGGGAGUGAUUAAUCCUUUUGUUUUUUUGUCUUUAACUUUAUCAAUAAAGCUGCAGCUUUCACUACAGCACGUGUGGUACUUUAAUCUUUGCACUGUUUUCAUCAGUUCAUUUUGCAGUUAACAUGUGAACAUGGAUGAUCUGUCUGCUGUCACUGGUUGGUG